rnacentral:rRNA from 1 species
GAACGCUGGUCGCAGGCUUAAACAUGCAAGUCGAGCGCCGUAGCAAUACGGAGCGGCAGACGGGAGACCAACACGUGGGAACGUGCCCUUUGGUUCGGAACAACCCAGGGAAACUUGGGCUAAUACCGGAUAAGUCCGUAAGGAGAAAGAUUUAUCGCCAAAGGAGCGGCCCGCGUCUGAUUAGCUAGUUGGUGGGGUAAUGGCCCACCAAGGCGACGAUCAGUAGCUGGUCUGAGAGGAUGAUCAGCCUCACUGGGACUGAGACACGGCCCAGACUCCUACGGGAGGCAGCAGUGGG